ensembl:snRNA U6 U6 spliceosomal RNA
GUGCUCCUUUGGCAGCAUAUGCACUAAAAUUGGAAUGAGACAGAGAUUAGCAUGGGGCCGGCACACGGACGCCAUGCAAAUUCAUGAAGCAUUCUAUGUUUUU